GACGAACGCUGGCGGCGUGCUUAACACAUGCAAGUCGAACGGAAAGGCCCCUUUGGGGGUCCUCGAGUGGCGAACGGGUGAGUAACACGUGAGUAACCUGCCCUUGACUUCGGGAUAACUUCAGGAAACUGGGGCUAAUACCGGAUAGGAAUCCUUGCUGCAUGGUGGGGGUUGGAAAGCUUCGGCGGUUUUGGAUGGACUCACGGCUUAUCAGCUUGUUGGUGGGGUAGUGGCUUACCAAGGCUUUGACGGGUAGCCGGCCUGAGAGGGCGACCGGCCACAUUGGGACUGAGAGACGGCCCAGACUCCUACGGGAGGCAGCAGUGGGGAAUAUUGCACGAUGGGCGGAAGCCUGAUGCAGCAACGCCGCGUGCGGGAUGACGGCCUUCGGGUUGUAAACCGCUUUCAGCAGGGGCGAAGCUUGUGGUGACGGUACCUGCAGAAGAAGCAACGGCUAACUACGUG
rnacentral:rRNA from 1 species